AUGGCUUACUAUUCAGAUCAUCAGGCUUAUGCGAGCAACACUACAAACAGCACGGAAAGUGUUCAAGAACUGAUAGGUAAGAUUUCCCAUCGAUUAGAUGAUUUAGCUCGGCAGCGAGAAGGAGUUUUUGAGGAUAGGCCUAGCUCUUAUGAUCCUUAUUCUAGAGGUCAUCCUUAUGUUGCUCCUACAUGCCAUAUUUGUGGAUUUCAGGGCCAUUCACCCGCUGAAUGUCAGCGUGGUUACUCUCACCCUCCUGAUUGUUAUGGCAUGAGCUUCGCCCCACCGCCUAGCUCAUACCAAAACAAUUACACACAUGGGUGGCCUGAAAACCAGAAUAUGUCAUAUAGGAGCAAUAACCCUGACAUCUCAUUGUUUGCCUCUAGUUAUCCAAUGCAGGGAUUCAGGUACAAUGAGGAGAACCACAACUAUGCUCCACAACAGAUUUAUUCACCUCCUACUCAUAUACCUCAAUACCAGGAGAUGUGUCCAAUGGAGUUAAAUGGUCCUCCAUUUGGUCAACCAACAACUCCAGCACCUUUCGAGCAAUCUCAUGUGCAAGUGCCCACACAAGAUGAAUUUGAUGAUAUAGAGAAGCUCACAUUGCUUAGUCUCGAGUUCACUUGGAGUGCCGAGGAUGAUCCUAUUAGGAAGGUUAUACUAGAUGAAAUGAAGAAGAUCAAGAGUGGAAAAGAGCUAGUGGAAGAAGUAAGGAAGAUUGAGAAGAACAUCAACGCUGGCAGCACUAUUUCUUCACAACUUGAGUUGAGUGUGGCUGAGAUAUCCAUGGAUACAUGUGAGGUUCCAACACCUUCACAUUUCGUUGAGCAAGUCAGCAAGUGCCUUGAGCAAGAGAUACCUCAGAUUGAAGAAGAUGAACUAUAA
rnacentral:rRNA from 1 species